GCGCGCUUAGCUCAGGGGUAGAGCGGCUGCUUUACACGCAGUUGGUCGGAGGUUCAAAUCCUUCAGCGCGCACCC
rnacentral:tRNA from 1 species